rnacentral:piRNA from 1 species
UUCGCUGUAAGCUCUAAGACAGG